CCCUAUGUAGUUGCCAUCAUUCAGUUGGGCACUCUAGCGAGACUGCCGGUAAUAAACCGGAGGAAGUGGGGAUGACGUCAAAUCAUCAUGCCCCUUAUGACCUGGGCUACACACGUGCUACAAUGGUUGGUACAACGAGUUGCGAGUCGGUGACGGCGAGCUAAUCUCUUAAAGCCAAUCUCAGUUCGGAUUGUAGGCUGCAACUCGCCUACAUGAAGUCGGAAUCGCUAGUAAUCGCGGAUCAGCACGCCGCGGUGAAUACGUUCCCGGGCCUU
rnacentral:rRNA from 1 species